rnacentral:rRNA from 1 species
UGGAUCCACACUUUGAUCCUGGCUCAGGACGAACGCUGGCGGCGUGCCUAACACAUGCAAGUCGAACGAAGCUUGAUUUAUGAUUUCUUCGGAAUGAAUAAUGAUAUGACUGAGUGGCGGACGGGUGAGUAACGCGUGAGCAACCUGCCCUUCGGAACGGGAUAGCGUCUGGAAACGGACGGUAAUACCGUAUAACGUAUUUUUACCGCAUGAUAGAAAUACCAAAACUGAGGUGCCGAAGGAUGGGCUCGCGUCUGAUUAGAUAGUUGGUGGGGUAACGGCCUACCAAGUCGACGAUCAGUAGCCGGACUGAGAGGUUGAACGGCCACAUUGGGACUGAGACACGGCCCAGACUCCUACGGGAGGCAGCAGUGGGGAAUAUUGCACAAUGGGGGAAACCCUGAUGCAGCAACGCCGCGUGAAGGAAGACGGUUUUCGGAUUGUAAACUUCUGUUCUUAGUGAAGAUAAUGACGGUAGCUAAGGAGCAAGCCACGGCUAACUACGUGCCAGCAGCCGCGGUAAUACGUAGGUGGCAAGCGUUGUCCGGAAUUACUGGGUGUAAAGGGAGCGUAGGCGGGAAGCCAAGUCAGCUGUGAAAACUACGGGCUUAACCUGUAGACUGCAGUUGAAACUGGUUUUCUUGAGUGAAGUAGAGGUUGGCGGAAUUCCGAGUGUAGCGGUGAAAUGCGUAGAUAUUCGGAGGAACACCGGUGGCGAAGGCGGCCAACUGGGCUUUAACUGACGCUGAGGCUCGAAAGUGUGGGGAGCAAACAGGAUUAGAUACCCUGGUAGUCCACACUGUAAACGAUGAUAACUAGGUGUGGGGGGUCUGACCCCUUCCGUGCCGCAGCUAACGCAAUAAGUUAUCCACCUGGGGAGUACGACCGCAAGGUUGCAACUCAAAUGAAUUGACGGA